rnacentral:lncRNA from 1 species
UAAAACCUAGGGAGAUAGACAUCGGAUCAGCCGCUUUUCCUCAUCUGAUUUUGCUUCUUCUUCACUCUGAAUACACACACACACACAGAGAAACCAACGAGGACCCCGCCCUUCAUCUUCAACCUUCAGCCGUUUCUGAGGAUCAAAAAACCAAAAAAUACCUAAGGACCUAAUCUUCUCCAAAAAAGAAACAGACACGAAAAAUCCUAAAACCUAAGAGAAUGGCAAAAAGGGAAUCGAAAAAUUCUGAAGCUAAGGCAGGACCCCUAAGAAGAUCUCUCUACCACCGUCUACCCAAAAACCCCAUCUCCCUCCCUUGAGAAAAAAAGAAUUCACAACCCACACAUAUAUAGAGGGAGGGAAUGAUAGACAGAGUUCAAGCGGGUGGGAAACGAGAGUGAAAGAGGUAGGACGAUUUUCAGUCCAAGGAACAAAAAGAAAAAUGGAGAGCUAGAAAAAAAUAGAUAGACAGAGUUCAAGCGGGGAGGGGGGGGGGGGACGAACAUAAAGGGAACGGGAAUAAAACACAGAGGAAAAGUAGAGCACAUAGUAGAUAAAACAGACGAAAAUCUGGGCAGAAAAAUCAUGGGCAGAAGUUAAAAAUGGAGAUGAGCCGAAGUUGAUUCUGGUUUGAGUCAGUGAGGCUGACGCUCGGGUUUCGAUCUCACGAUCAAGGUCAUGUUCUCUGUUUCAUUGUUUAAUCCAUUCAGUCAAAGAUUUUUGAGGUCCAUAUCUUGUCCUCUUUCUUAUUAAUGAGUUUUUACGCCUCUCUUAGUGGAAUAAAAUAAUGCUCCUCAUAUUGAUAUCUUCUAGUAUGCUUACUUCAAUGUUUGUUUACGAUAAUUUGUUUUGAUAGUAGUAUUUUUAUAAUUUUGUCUAGCCUUGAUUGAUUUAGGUUUGGUUUAAUGAAAAGCAGAAUUCAUAGGAAAGAUUGAAUAAUGAAAUUGUACUAGUAGUAACUUUAAACGUAAUUUUGGACUUUAAGUGUUGGGUUCUAUUCGAUGUGGCUUUAAAAGAAUUUUCAUUGAAAUACUUUAUGUAUUGGCUCAAAUCUAUACCGUGUACAUUCAAUUUCUCGUCAAGAAUUAAUGACCGUACCAGGAAGGCGAAAGGUGGGGACUCAAAAGUAUAAAUUUUGACAAUCAAGCACAAGUUUGUCAUAAAAUAAACAGAUGGAUGAUGCUAGUAAAGUUUUCUGAAACAUAUCAAUAAGCUAGAUUCAUUCUGUGAUUCAUUUUAUAUAUUGGGCAUUGAUAUGACAAGCGUGGAUUAGACUAAAAUCACAAAAUAAAUCGUGAUUGCGUAUGCGUUCACGUGACAUAUAUGAUUUUCAAAAUAAAUCAAAGUAUGCGUUCGUGCAACUUUGACUAAACUUUCUUAAUAAUAAUAAAGUGUCACUAAUUGUAGACACGUUCGCGUGACAUGAUUUUUGACGCGCCAAACAAAUGGGUAUAUGUAUGCGUGACCUGUUUCAAAAUAAUUUCUUAAUUAAAAGAGACAAAUGUACAUAGGUUUUAAAAUGAGUAAUUAGACAAUUUGAUUAAGCCAAGUACGAUCAAAGCGACCGUGCUAAAACCACAGAACCCGGGAAUGUCUAACACCUUCUCCCGGGUUAACAGAAUUCUUUACAUGGAUUUCUGUAUUCGCAGAUCAUAAAUAAGAGUCAACUUCCUCGAUUCGAGAUUUUUAACUAGUGACUUAGGACACCAUAAAUUAUCCCAAGUGAUGACUCUAAUUUUAAAUGAAAUAAUCCCAUUUCAAUUGUCACUUAAAUUGGAAAAAACUCCCUUAUAUCCCUUUCGGGGUAGUAAAAAAGAGGUGUGACAGCUCUGGCGACGCUGCUGAGGAUAAGAAUCCAGAACUUCUGGUUCAGGGUUCAAGAAUUUGAGCUUGUUUUUAUGAUUUUUACUUGGCUUUAUUUAUUGUUCAUAUUAUUGUAUUUGUGGACCUAAUGUGCUAAAUGUUGUUUAUUUACCACUUUCAUAUUACUUGAACUGUAUUAAACUGUCUCCCUAUGCCUCCUUUCUGAGUUUUCUAAAAAUGGUGCACACGUUCGCGUGACCCACUUUUUAUGUUAGAAGUUAUACCAAAUAGAACAAGGCUGGGCCAGCAACAAGGCCGAGUAUACUUUUGUUCUCCCGGUACGUUGCCCCCUCUUCGGCUCGAGCUAUCCGCUAAGGUAAGCCAGGUCUAGAACACAACCCCAGGUUUAAAUCUAGAAUAACAUAGCCUCAUGUCGGAUCCCUAGUAGGAACGUUUAUUUUCAUCACGUGNNNNNNNNNNNNNNNNNNNNNNNNNUGAUAAAAAAGAGGGUGAAGUGUAAAAAUAAAUCAAGUAGGGGCUCAGUUAUAUUUUUUCACAUUUUUUUUAAAAAGAGAAAGACAAAAAAAAAAACAUGAAAAAUCCAAAAAGAUUUUGCACUUUCCCAUCAUUUAAAAAAAAAAUCAAAAAAGGGGAAAAGAAAAUCUAAAAAGAGUUUACAUGUUUCAUCAUUUUUUAAAAAGAUAAAAAAUAUAUUUUCUCUAAAUUAGUUGUUUUUUUAAAUUCUCGAUCGUAUCCAAUCUGCUCGAACUAUGAUACCCGAUUCUCGUCUUUUGGGGCAUGAUACGUAGGCAACCCACAUAUGGUCUGGUCUUCCUAGUAAGUCUUAGGUUCUUGGCUUUGUGGGGUCUUAGCCAAAUCUUACAUUUUUAGCCACUUUUAGCUACAUAGGUUAAUUUUGGAAAAAUAGUCACAAUCAUGUCUUGCAUGUGUCUAACAUGAAGGGUUAUUGUCUCACAUAGCGUCCUAGGUCUUUAAUUUUAUUUUGUCUUAAUUUUCUCAUACAGGUGUGGAUAUACUUACCGGAGUUUGGGCAUGACAUGCGCCUUAGGACCAUCCAGUCAAGAUCGCUCAUUCAAGAGUUUGCUUAAGGAUUUUUUUAAUGUUAAGUUUUGAGUCUAUUUUCUUUUUAUGUCGUCUUUUACCUUCUAGUUUUGUUUAAUAAUGUCAAGUCUUUUAGGUGAUAUUAGAGUCUGUCAUAGGCUAGUUAAGUUUGUUGAGUCUUUUAUUAUUGUAUUUCCUAUUUUGUAUUUGAAAAAGAUGUGUUAUAAAUCAAAAUUCCAAAAAAAUAAAUAAGAGAUUUUGCUUUUUA